GCCGCCACACCCCGGGGCUUUCGUCAUUGUUUACUUAAAAGGAACUCCAGCAAAUCACCAAACCACAUCAGAACAGAAAGUACAAACUCCUGAAAUGGAGGAGUUUGCUGAGCAGGGACCCUUCAACCCAAGACGCUCAACGUUAGCCCAGUGAGGAAACUGAGUCUUGGAGAUGCUAAUUGACCUGCCCAAGGUCACUCAGUUAAGCUGCAGCAUUCUGUCAACCAUCUCUCCAGCAUAUAGAAUUAAUUAAAAGGCCGAGAAAAAACUCCAGUGUGAACAAGAUUGGUUUGAACCCGAAGCCCUAGCUCUUGACAAGUAGUAGACUCUACCGUUACCUGGGAGGAAGAUGGUGAUGCCUCUUUAAGAUACGGAGACUCUGAGCCCUCAAGAGAUCCUGAAUUCUCCCAGUUUCCUCCAAUAUUUGGCUAGAACUCUCCAAACCAAUUUUCUCACACUCUUCUGACUUGGAAUCACUGAAAUUGAAACUGCCCUUUUCUGGAAGCCAUGCAAGUUAAAGCUGGACAACUUGAUGUAAACUUCAGGGAAAUCAUCACAACAGCUCAUGUGUGGACAAUCUUCGUGCCUGUUGCUAUGUGGCCACUCAGAAAGAUCACCAGAGGCAUUCAAACUGCAAACCAGGAAAAUCUGUCUGAUUGCCACUGCUUGCCCUCAAUCCAUCUGAAGAUGUUUGGAACAUGACAUCUAGAAAUUUUCUCAACUGGCUGCUCUCCAAACUCAGAAACGGAAUUUAUAAUUUGCUGAAACUAUUAACCUUUGUUUUUUCUUUUGUUUCCAUAGAAAUGUCUCUUGUUAAAUUCCCUGAUUGCUCACAUCACAUCGAAGCUUCAUUUAGGUGGAAGCUCACCUGCAACACAGACUCUUGAAAGAAAACAUCCUCAAAUUCAUCCUAUCCUAAGUAAUCAUUAGGAUAUGUGUUUGCUAACAGAUCAUGUUGUGCCUAUGUAAAUACCUUUUAAAAAAUUAUAACCCAUUUGAGUUAUUUAAUUGGUUAAAUCUUGGCUCCUGAGAAUCACUGCUCUAGGCAGUUAUUAAAUCCCUGGCUAUUAUUCUCCUUAUAGUCAUCGUAUUAACCUCUCUAGUAUGUUGUAUACUCUUGAGGGAUUUAAAUGCCAGUUGGCAGCCAACCCCUUGCAUGCAAAAUGGUAGCCGUCAGAAUCUGACAACUUGAUGAAAUCAACAAUAACCAUGUAAAUGAUGAAGAUAGUGACGCAUGGCCAUCCAGCAGGGCGACUCAACUAGUGGAGAUGCUAAAUGUAUGAUGCUUCGUCUUGACUACUACAUUGACAGUGGUAACUGAGAAUAACACUAUACCAGCUGGCCAUAUUCUCAGUCUCCUGAGAGAAUGAACAAAAUAGGUAAUUCUUAAAACCAAAAACAAAUGGAGACCAGCCCUGAAAAUUCUCUGAGCUGACAAAACCACUUAAGCCAGUCAAAGCUUUAUUUCGCCUAUUUUGCAAGACUAGCUUGACCUGGGUCAUUUCUUGCUAAUGCCUCUGAAAACUGUAAGCAAAACUUAAGCUGCUUCCCAAGGUUGAUAUGAAGUAACCACUGACCAAUUCUCUACCAUUUAAGAAAAUUCUGAUAUUAUAACCAGUCACUGUGAGGAAUAAAGUCACUUCUUUCUCACUGUAUAAACAGCUUCAUAACAAUAUAUCCCUGAGUGUGCUCUUGGUUUGCAAACUGUCUUUUUUGUUAUAUGCACAAUAAACUCUUACUAAUUACUGCUUCAGUGAUUCAUUGGUUUUACAUCUGUUAUUUCUGAACUUUUGACAGCAGAGCUGAAGGCACCAGCUUCCUCUCCUGGAGCUUCCAGUUGGAUGAGGGCUCAAAAACCUCUCUGCAUGGACUGCUACAGUUCCUAAUCACUCUCUGCUAAAUAUGACUCUUGGCUUCCAAGAAUAACUUCCAGAAGAAUUCUGGUUAUGGUGUAUUAGCCGGAGGGGAGUGUCACCUUAUCCUGUUAUCACCCAUGUAGCAUAAUCAAUUUAUUGGCCAAACUGGCCUCUCCUGGCAGAGAGCUCCCUGCAGAAGCUUGUUCUUGGUUCUAGAGAAUGGCACAAG